UACGGAGGGUGCGAGCGUUGUCCGGAAUCAUUGGGCGUAAAGGGCGCGUAGGUGGCCCGGUCAGUCUUUGGUGGAAGCGCGGGGCUCAACCCUGCGUCGGCCAGGGAUACUGCCGCGGCUCGAGCACUGUAGAGGCAGGCGGAAUUCCGGGUGUAGCGGUGGAAUGCGUAGAGAUCCGGAAGAACACCGGUGGCGAAGGCGGCCUGCUGGGCAGUUUGGCUGACACUGAGGCGCGACAGCGUGGGGAGCAAACAGG
rnacentral:rRNA from 1 species